rnacentral:tRNA from 5 species
UGGGGUAUAACGCAGUUUGGUAGCGUGACAUCAUGGGGUGGUGUAAGUCGCGGGUUCAACUCCCGCUACCCCAA